UACGUAGGAUGCAAGCGUUGUCCGGGAUUAUUGGGCGUAAAGAGCGCGCAGGCGGUAUGACAAGUCAGAUGUGAAAGAGGCCGGCUUAACCGGCAAGGGUCAUUUGAAACUGUCAGACUAGAGUGCAGCAGAGGAUAGUGGAAUUCCCGGUGUAGUGGUGAAAUGCGUAGAUAUCGGGAGGAACACCAGUAGCGAAGGCGGCACUCUGGGCCGGUACUGACGCUGAGGAGCGAAAGCGUGGGGAGCGAACAGG
rnacentral:rRNA from 1 species